GAUGAACGCUGGCGGCGUGCUUAACACAUGCAAGUCGAACGAUGAUGGGAGCUUGCUCCUGGAUUAGUGGCGAACGGGUGAGUAACACGUGAGUAACCUGCCCUUAACUCUGGGAUAAGCCUGGGAAACUGGGUCUAAUACCGGAUAUGACUCCUCAUCGCAUGGUGGGGGGUGGAAAGCUUUAUUGUGGUUUUGGAUGGACUCGCGGCCUAUCAGCUUGUUGGUGAGGUAAUGGCUUACCAAGGCGACGACGGGUAGCCGGCCUGAGAGGGUGACCGGCCACACUGGGACUGAGACACGGCCCAGACUCCUACGGGAGGCAGCAGUGGGGAAUAUUGCACAAUGGGCGCAAGCCUGAUGCAGCGACGCCGCGUGAGGGAUGACGGCCUUCGGGUUGUAAACCUCUUUCAGUAGGGAAGAAGCGAAAGUGACGGUACCUGCAGAAGAAGCGCCGGCUAACUACGUGCCAGCAGCCGCGGUAAUACGUAGGGCGCAAGCGUUAUCCGGAAUUAUUGGGCGUAAAGAGCUCGUAGGCGGUUUGUCGCGUCUGCCGUGAAAGUCCGGGGCUCAACUCCGGAUCUGCGGUGGGUACGGGCAGACUAGAGUGAUGUAGGGGAGACUGGAAUUCCUGGUGUAGCGGUGAAAUGCGCAGAUAUCAGGAGGAACACCGAUGGCGAAGGCAGGUCUCUGG
rnacentral:rRNA from 1 species